UGCGAGGUGAUUUAUGUUUUAUUUUGUUUUUUGUUUGUUUUAGCAAAGUAUUGUUUUGUUGUUGUAUUGUAUUGAUUUAAUUCUUUUUAUUAUAGUUUACUUGUACUGUGAGGGGUGUUCAUUUUUGUUUUUUUAAGUUGGUUUGGUUUACUGUACCUUUUGUAUCAGGGUUUACUAAUUAUUAUUAUUUAUUUUUUGUUUCCCGAUUUCGAAGGAGCUACUUAAUUGUUUUGGUUACUGUUUCACUAGUAUCUGUAACAUUUAUUUAGUAGUGAUAUGUUAUGCGUCUUUGGUGGUAUCUGGUUUCCUGAGAGAUGAAUUUAAUUCACACUUCUUGUUUGGUUAUUAUUUUUGUUUAUUCUAUCUUACUUGUGGUGAAGGUUUUGGGGGAUAAGCUCUGAUUCUUUUUUAUAAUGUUUUUGUUUGGUGAAUUGUAUUGUGGGCUUUAUGUUGGCUAUCUAUUUGAGUAUUUUAAAAUUUUACUUUUUGUUAUUUGGUAAUUUUCCCUUAUUUAAUUAUUUAUUGGGAUGUUCAGUUCAAUUUUUUGGUUGUUGUAUUUUUGGUUGAACUAGUAUAUGUAUUUUUUUAUUCGAUUUCGUUUUAUGUUGAGUUUUUCAAAGGAAUUAGGCAAAGGGUUAGGGCACUCGCCUGUUUAACAAAAACAUCUCUUCUUGUUGAUUUUUUUGAAGUAUGGCCUGCCCACUGAUGAUAUUGAAGGGCCGCGGUAUUUUGACCGUGCAAAGGUAGCAUAAUCAUUAGUUCUUUAAUUGUGGACUGGUAUGAAUGGCUCGACGAGGUGCUGUCUGUCUUUGUUGGAAAUUAUGGUGUAUAAUUUAGUGUCUUGGUAAAAAUGCCUAGAUUUUUUUAUGGGACGAGAAGACCCUAUAGAGUUUUACAUGGUUGUAUCCUUUUUUGGUUUGAUUUUGGGUUUAAAUGUUGGGUUUAAUAUGUUUUGUUGGGGUGACAGGAGGAUAUAUUUAACUCCUCCUUUAUUGUUUUUCAUUUAUUUAUGUUUCCUUGAUCCUUUAUUAUUGAUUAUAAGACAAAAUUACCUUAGGGAUAACAGCGUAAUCUUUCUUGAGAGUUCAUAUUGACGGGAAGGUUUGCGACCUCGAUGUUGGAUUAAGAUUAAUCUUUGGUGUAGAGGCUUUAUUAAAUUUAUUAGGUCUGUUCGACCUUUAAAAUCUUACAUGAUCUGAGUUCAGACCGGCGUGAGCCAGGUUGGUUUCUAUCUAUAAUUUUCUUUAAUUUCUUAGUACGAGAGGACCAGAUAUUUGGAAUAAUUUUCUUUAAUUUGAAUUUUAGUAACUU
rnacentral:rRNA from 1 species